CAGUCCACUCCUAACUAGGGGCAAGGGGAAAACAGUAUGUGCAGAUUGCUCAGUCUUGGGCAUGCUCAGUAGUGCUCAUGGCUGGGAAGGCCUCUGACCCUUGACCCCAGCUUCUCCCAGGUCAGGCGGGAAAACAGGUUUCUUUGUUCUCACCUGGUUAAGAGAAACCACACCUAUGCCUUGUCAUUGACCAAUGAGAAUCUUCCCUAUGUACUGUGUAUAUUUGCAUAUCAAAAACUAUAUCUAGCCCAGCAGGCUCCGCCUUCCCUCUCUCUGCUCUCUGCCCUCUGCUCUCUGCUCGCUCCUUCUCUUUCAGGCUACCUGAUGGCUGUCCUUGCAGGAGCUUGGCCAGAGGCCAAGCUCCAUCUUUAAUCUUUCUCUAUUCACCUCUCUGACCUAUGUGGUAUGGAUCUCAGGACUGGAAUAGCCUACUGAAUUGGUCCUUUGAUCAGAGCUUAGCUGUGGCUCAUCGAUAAUUAAUAAAGACUCAUUCUGAACACCUCAUAUCUCUAUUAGGACUCCGUCACUUCCCUCGUGGUAUCAAAACUUCUAUCCUGUCUCUAUCUUCCUACCUUGUGGCUUCUCUCACCUCUGAGAGAGCUACAGAUGGCGCCCAACUUUCUCGUGGCAUUCCACUCUUUUACUUCACACAGCGAAUGGGAGAACGCGUUCGAGGACACGAGGCUAAUAGUAGGCGGGUGCCGGAGUUCCAGGAAGGUUGCCGUACCUCUGGCCAAGGACGGUAAGUCCUCCUCUGCUUGAGGUGGGUCUCCCCUCUGAACCCUGCUCGACUCUUAAUGUCGUAGCUUGAUGGGGGAGAAAUGGAAGUCUCAAGAGCUUAAUUGCCUGAGACUGAAUCAGGAUGAGGGAAGCACACGAUCGGUCAGAGAGGGAUUCUUAAACUAUCUCUGUCAGGGAGGUGCAGUUUCCCUCCCCCACCUGGGUCUGCUAGUCGGAGGCCUCCUCUCUCGGACCUGGAUCUCCGGAGGUUAAGAAACACCUGAGGAGCGGUCUGAGGGGGAGGGGAAGGAAAAAGAAAAUUUGACCCAGGGAAAAACCCUCUCUAGGGGCGAUUGAGAACUUGAAAAAUCUCAGUCUGAAACAAACAGUUGCUAGAGCCUAGUGAAUUUCAAAAGGAGCAACUGGGAAAAGAAAAAGCAGGAGUUAAAAUUUCAUCAGGAAAGCAAAGUCAAAUUUACCUGCUAUUCAUACGCAAAAGCGGGAAAGGCUAGCGAAGACGCAAGGCAGAAACUGCUGCAGAAUGCUAAGGAGUUCUUUCUUAAGCACUUCUUAUUUCAAAAGUUCUGCAAGCUAAUCUUUACAAGAAACUCCCUGUGCCUUUUCAGGAGAGGUCGGACUCAGAUGCAUUUGAAAGGCCUAUCAGGAAGUGGUUGCUUUAAUCUCAAAGCAGGGCAUUUAAAAGAUCAGAAUUACUUGGAAAAAACGGAUAAAAAACAAAAAAUUUUUUUAAUAAAACCGUAGGUCUCAGCACAAUUAAGGAAUCAAGGUAAUAAUCCUGAAUUAGGUUAAAUUUGGAACAGCCUAAGUUGUAAAAAGAUAUUGCCAUCCUGUAACCAAAGGCAGAAGAUUUUUUUUAAAAAAAGCAAGUCCUAGGGACUCUUUUGUUUGAGGUCCAGCCAGGUAAAGGCAGGCUUUACCUGGGCGAUUGCAAAUACAGUAAAGUAAGAUUUGGGAAUUUGAAUUUUAAUUUAGGUUGGAUAGGCAAAAUUAUAAAGGAAUGUCUGCUUAUAUUUUUUGAUAAAGGAAGUUAAAAAGGAGAAUUAAAUAUCUUUCUCUGACUUUUGUUAUAUGCCACAAAAUAUCAGGACUAGAAAUGUUUUAUCUGUAGAGAAAUUUUGGUAUAUAUCUCAAGGUAAUUAAAGUGCAAACAGAAAACUUUUAAGGUUUGAGUUUAAAUCUGAAGCAGCUUGAAAUGUUUUUUCUCUACCGGCCACGUGGUUUGAGCCACGUGGAAGAUAGCAUCAGAGCAACUGAGGUUGCAAGUUGUAUCACUAAGGCUGUAAUUGGCUAGAAGAACAAAUUUAAUAUUAAGAUAUAAUAAGCAUGAGUUGGAAUAUGAUUUAAAGGAAUUUCUAAGGCUUUCUAAUUUUAACUAUGGAGGAAUUAUUAACACUUUUCUAAGCAGGACAUAAAGCAACAGGAAGAAUCUUGAGCAGAGCUUAUUCAAACAACCUGUAUGCAGUUCAGAAACUUUUUACUGGGCAUAUUAACAUACCUGUAUCCAGAAAGCAAAUGAUCUAUAACUAGAAUAGCUUUUACUAUGGAAAAUUAAGACACAUGCUCAGCAGGGUAAAAGCAUGGUUAGAAGGAUUCAAUCUGUUUACCAGUGGUUAAUUAUUAAGGUUAUCAGGAACUCUGUUACUCAGUACAGUAAUUUAUUAAGGAUUUGAAAGAGGCAAUACUAUCAUGUAUUAAAAUUGCAGAUACUGAAGCUGAUCAUGAUAUUGAAAAGAGACCUAUGAUAAUAAUGCAAAUUCAAAGAUUACUGGCAUAAUUUGAUUUAUUUCUGCAGUGAAGAUUUGCAGAAUUAGCAGAUGAAAGUAAUGAUUUUAGUCACAGUAUUAAGAUCUUUUCAGUUAUGGAGCUAAGGGCAGUAGUUCAGAAAUAACAACUUCUGUGCAAUUGUUUGAUAAUUCUGUGCACAUUUUUCUAGCAUAGGACAAUGCUAUAAUUUUAAUAACUGCACAAGGCGGAAAUUUUUCAAAAAGCAAAAAUUGUGUGCAGGCAGACAAAGACUUAAGAUCCCAGCACACAUGGGUCAAUUCACAAGUGAUUUAUAGAAUGAUAUUUUUAUGAUUAUGGGUUUGAAAAAGCAAAUAUUUAAGCAUCUAUACAUGCUGUUUUGAACACACAGCUGCUGGCAUUCUCUGCUCUAGCAGAGGGCCAGAUCUAUUGUACAUCUAUAUCCUGAACAAGCAGGUGAUAUUGCUUAUCAAUACAAACUGCUGUGGAUUAAUUUCACCCCUGAUAGAUAUCCACUGUAUAUUUUGGAGCAAAAGGUGCAUUUCAGUAUGCUCCUGGCACAAAGGUUGAACUGUGAAAAGUGAUGGGAGAUACUUACUCUCCUGGUUUAUGGGUUCAAGCUCAAAUGAAGAAGUGAGCAAAGUGAUUACAGAUUCUAUAAAUAUCUGUGCACUACUGUCUAUUCCAAACAGCUUGGAAUAGCAGGGCUUUUAACAGCAAUGCAAAGGCUAAAUUGCAUAGCUCAUGGCUUACAUGCAAGCUAUGGUACAAAGAGCUCAAAGGAAUUCAUGAGCCCCAAGGUUCAAAAACUGAAGGUAUAUAUGUUCUGUCACUUUCUAACUCUCUUAAGACCCAAUGAGGCUUUCAUUUGGGGUCGAGGUUUUGUUUGUAUGUUCACAGAUAAUGAAAACAUCUGGUCACCCACGUCAUGCUUCAUGCCAGCUGAUACAGACCAGGAAGAGAAGCAGACGGAAGGUGAUGGCAUCAGCUACCUACAUGCCAGCCACAAUCCAGACUCGCUGGAAGGACACUUCUUUGGUGACUAAUAUCACUCUAGAACAAUGACAUUACACUAUUAGAGACAUUGGCUAUUAGGCCACUGAAGGACACUUGUCAUGCUGACAUCCAUUGAGAUGGGGUACCCAGAGCAACAUCAAGUAUGCUAACUCAGAAGGACUAAAUCACACUCGUGUCUGUACAAGACACCAGAUACAUCCCACAUUCCAAAGACUUUGCGAUGGGAUUGAGAUGAAAUAGCUACAAAUUGUCUAGCUACUAAAGUAUACCUUGUAUUUUGUCUAUGACACUGUCAAAGGGAAUUUUGUAUGCAUUAUGAAUUGUAUGCAUUGUAAAUCCACCACUUGUAUUAUAAGAAAUGCUGUUAUCAACAAGGGUAUAGACCUUGGUAUGACUCUCCAAAGAGUAGGAGAUAGAAAACUUUCAUUCAUAGGAUAGAUCUGAUAUUUCUGACAACAAAAAUGAGGUGCUAAGCAGAAAAUGCUGCACAGACAGGUUUAAUGGACAGAUGACACUGAUGUUACUCUCAAGAAAGGAUGAGAGAUCAGGGAAAAGACAUUAGGAAAUCUUUAAUCAGGAACUUGAGUUAUUGUAAGAGAUCAUUGACAUCCAGGCAAAGAUUAUGUUCCUGACAUUACAUUAAGGGCUGACUACCAUAGCAGUAGUUGAGUGUUAAUACCAUUGCUAACCAUUACUCCUGAUACCCUGUCUUUGUGGGUAAUAUCUUGAUAGGAAAAAUGUCUUGCUCUCCUCCAACAGUCCCAGAAUUCAGACGGCCGCUGGAUUCGGGAUCUAUUGGCUUCCCUUUCAUAUACUGGAAGACGUUCUGGUAUAUGGAAGUAAGACCUCAUGAAAAACUGAGGACUCUAGGUUUGACAAUUUCUGUGGACGCGCAGUCAUUGUCUCUCCUAGGUGGAAAAAAUUAUUAUUGCACAAAAACAUGGAGCAAGGGCAAAGUAUAAUCUAAGUUUUACUGUUUUGGAGUAUGGAUUAAACACAUGACACAAUAGGCACAGAUAAGCUUGCAGAAAAAGCACAUUGAAUAUUAUUCACUGACAAUUAGGAAUGAAAAAGCUAUGUCAAAUGCUGUAGGUACAAGAAACUGUAGAAAUUGUUUCUACAUGGGAAACAACUUAAGCUUCUAUUUACCCAAACAUUGGUUUGGUGGAAGGAAUUUUGCAAAUAUUGGUAAUGGUAUAGGCUUGGUUACCAUAUUGAUGGGUUUAUUCAUACAAGCAGAGAUUUAAAAUAAGGAAGACAUUAGGAAUAUGCAGUCAGAACUUGAAAUAUUACUUCAUUAUCACCAUCAUGGUUAUUUAAGUUACAAUUGAGAAUGUAAAAUGGAUGGGAAUAUUGGUAUUUGUUAAAAAUUGCACUGUGAUUGAUGUAUUGAUGUUUUUGCAAAGCCUGUAAUGGUGCAAAAUUAUGUUCAUAUACAAGGCGAAUUUUGAUCUAUUUA